rnacentral:rRNA from 1 species
UACGGAGGAUGCAAGCGUUAUCCGGAUUGAUUGGGCGUAAAGCGUCUGUAGGUGGUUACGCUAGUCGGCUGUUAAAGAUCAGGGCUGAACCCUGAGCAAGCAGUCGAAACUGCGUGGCUGGAGUACGGUAGGGGCAGAGGGAAUUCCCGGUGUAGCGGUGAAAUGCGUAGAUAUCAGGAGGAACACCGGCGGUGUAGACGGCUUUCUGGACCGUAGCUGACGCUGAGACACGAAAGCGUGGGUAGCAAACAGG